rnacentral:rRNA from 1 species
CAACGGAUCUCUUGGCUCUCGCAUCGAUGAAGAACGCAGCGAAAUGCGAUAAGUAAUGUGAAUUGCAGAAUUCAGUGAAUCAUCGAAUCUUUGAACGCACCUUGCGCUCCUUGGUAUUCCGAGGAGCAUGCCUGUUUGAGUGUCAUUAAAUUCUCAACUAU